rnacentral:rRNA from 1 species
GAUGAACGCUGGCGGCGUGCCUAAUACAUGCAAGUCGAGCGAACAGAUGAGGAGCUUGCUCCUCUGACGUUAGCGGCGGACGGGUGAGUAACACGUGGAUAACCUACCUAUAAGACUGGGAUAACUUCGGGAAACCGGAGCUAAUACCGGAUAAUAUAUUGAACCGCAUGGUUCAAUAGUGAAAGACGGUUUUGCUGUCACUUAUAGAUGGAUCCGCGCCGCAUUAGCUAGUUGGUAAGGUAACGGCUUACCAAGGAAACGAUGCGUAGCCGACCUGAGAGGGUGAUCGGCCACACUGGAACUGAGACGCGGUCCAGACUCCUACGGGAGGCAGCAGUAGGGAAUCUUCCGCAAUGGGCGAAAGCCUGACGGAGCAACGCCGCGUGAGUGAUGAAGGUCUUCGGAUCGUAAAACUCUGUUAUUAGGGAAGAACAAAUGUGUAAGUAACUAUGCACGUCUUGACGGUACCUAAUCAGAAAGCCACGGCUAACUACGUG